ensembl:lncRNA
CUUGGUUGGAUCUGUUUAUGAAAAACAAGGAACCCCCUUUUACCUUUGUCUGCUCCCAUUUCCAAGCAGGCAGCACUGAGCGACCAGCAGACGGCUCGUACCGCUGAGAGCUCGGUGCCAGCUCUCGCAGUGCAAGAGCAGCCUCCUGCCGAUGUCUGUUCUCAGCAAAAUUACUGACAGUUUGGUCGGGCACAGAGUCCAAAGCAGCAUUUCCCCACCAAGAUUCACGUGCCUUUGGUCAGGAGCGUCACCCCAGCACGGGGGUUUAUGCCGUAUGAGCAGGAGGGAGCACAAAGACGAGGCAGCAGGAGGGAAUAUACUCCUUUACGUGAGCGGUAAUAAUAUGAUCAUACCACCAAGUACGUAAAGAAAGAUGUAAUGAAGAGACAAAAUAUAUUUAACGGAGAAGACAUAGCGGAAGAAUAAUCACAUAAAUGGCACCGGCAACAGGAAGACGGGGCUGCCAUGCCUUCCAGAGCACCAGAUGCCCACAGCCACCUGCAAAAGGACAGCAGCACAGUGGCGCUCGGGGUCGGAGGAGAAAUGUGGCUGACACACAGCCCUGUGUCUGCUCAGUGCAGAGGUUUUGGCAAAUAAAAGGCUGUUACCAUAAGACGUGUGGAAGCCCCUCUGGUGUUAGCAAGCAGUGGAAAGCCCAGAAUGAAGAGCUGGUGAACUGCGCAAGCUUUUGGAACGUAAUGAGAAACAAUGCCAGCAGAAGGAGGGGCUAUUAAGAUCUGGGCAUACAUCUGCCUCCUCUUGAGGCUGUGUUUCAUGGAGGACUGCCCUCACUCUGGCACUGUGGCCCUCCAACUGAAGAGAUUUAAAUCCUGGUACGACUUUGGAUCUCCGUUAUGUGCUGACUCCCAGGAAGGGCACAGCUCCCAGAGGGCUCUCACACCUCCCAAGUGUUUCUUACUCAGCAUGCUGGCUGCUGUAAAUCCUGCUCUCCAUUUGCUCAAAUGGGCUGACUUGGCUGGAUCCCUCUGCACCCUCACCUCACCAGAAGACGUGCUCAGGCACAGGCUUUGCAAUGGUGAUACAUGAGAAACAACGUCAGAAAGCCAAUCCUACCCUCCAGCGUGGGGCUGGCCAACCUGUGACACUUAGCUUCACGAUGGUGAUAAGCAGAUUAAGUAUGGCUCCCAUGCUCGAACUACAUCACACGUCUGGCACCAGGACUGUGCUGCUGGAAAACCUGGAUAAUUCAGAUCUUCAGCCAUAGGAAGCUGUAAGUCAGCAGGAACUGCCCAAAAUGGUAUUUCAGGACCCUGCUGGCAUACAGUUGCAUGCUCCAUUCAGUCCAUAUCAGGUGAUGCAAAACUGAGAUACCCCUGGGCAGCUUCCAGCAACUUACACCUGCAAACUUCUGUCUCUGAGGUAUGGAGCAGCCCAGAGCCCCUGAGCCACAGGACAUGUGGGUGUGGGUCCUGUGAACUGGGGGGCAAGUUCACAGGACCCAGCAGUGUUGUGUGCCUCCUCCUGCACAACAGCUCCCACCCCCGACACCUCAGCAAAGCUGUGCCUGCUGCCCCGAGGGAUCUGGGGAAAUGAACGUCUGCACUACAUUGCUAGCACAGAUUCACUAUAAAAACUCCAUGUCAUGUCUGAGUUGAGCCACAUAAAAAGCAAAGGAAAGAUAGCGGCAGUUUUGGUAAACUUGAUUAAAGAAAUUACUGUGGGCUGAGCGAUACUGAAUAAAGCUGGGACAGGAUGAAAGAUGUGAGAAAUGGAGUUUUCCUUUCCUCCCUUUAACCCUCCUCCCUUUUUUCAAAGUGAGCUUGACCUAGUGUGACUCCUAGCAGUUACCUGCUGGGCGCACAUCAGAUAUGUAUCAGUAACUGGAGAAUGAGGGAUAAGUCUCAGGCCACGGAAAAGAAACCAAAAUGAAAGCCUUGCCAUUAAGAAUAUUAAUAUUAGGACUGUUUGAGUUCAGACAGUUACAGACUGGAAGGCUCAGUUGCCACCCAUAGUUUGUGUAAGCAGGAAUAUCAUCAAUCCAUCCUGUGAAAACCAGUACUUCAGCUGGCAGAGUGGGAAGAGAAGAGCGAGAGAAAGAGAGGGCUUUUGUCUCAGGUUACAAGUCUGAGGGCUUGGAGAAACCCUACUACCUCUCUUUUUUUUUUUUUUUUUAUUUUCCUGUAGAAAACAAAUAAAACGAAACAGAAGGCAAAAAACCCCAACAACAUAGCAACAUGACAGUGAUGUGUAUAAUGAUCUCUGGCAGCCUAAGAUAAGAUCACAGCCCUUGGGACUGGUGGAGCCUGGAGCUAACAGACCCCUGCUUUGGGGAAAAACUAGAGGCGGACAGAAAAAAAGUCCCGUUCUCAUAUUAAAAAGGAAGGAG